rnacentral:rRNA from 1 species
UUGAACGCUGGCGGCAGGCCUAACACAUGCAAGUCGAGCGGAUGAAGGGAGCUUGCUCCUGGAUUCAGCGGCGGACGGGUGAGUAAUGCCUAGGAAUCUGCCUGGUAGUGGGGGAUAACGUCCGGAAACGGGCGCUAAUACCGCAUACGUCCUGAGGGAGAAAGUGGGGGAUCUUCGAACCUCACGCUAUCAGAUGAGCCUAGGUCGGAUUAGCUAGUUGGUGGGGUAAAGGCCUACCAAGGCGACGAUCCGUAACUGGUCUGAGAGGAUGAUCAGUCACACUGGAACUGAGACACGGUCCAGACUCCUACGGGAGGCAGCAGUGGGGAAUAUUGGACAAUGGGCGAAAGCCUGAUCCAGCCAUGCCGCGUGUGUGAAGAAGGUCUUCGGAUUGUAAAGCACUUUAAGUUGGGAGGAAGGGCAGUAAGUUAAUACCUUGCUGUUUUGACGUUACCAACAGAAUAAGCACCGGCUAACUUCGUG